rnacentral:sRNA from 1 species
CGAGCCCCGGAUACGUCGACAAUAGAUGACGGGACUCACGUUGUACGUUCACAUCAGGUCCCGGCCCGCCGGAACCUGGGAGAUCCACGAUGCCGAGUUUGCCACGCUGCGACAGCCCAUAGGCUUGCCCCCCGGGCAUUCGGGUGGACUACGAACACAAACUGAAGCCCUACGACUUGUCGCCCGUUUGCGCUCUCGCCGAGGCACAGGCUGCUCGUGGACCACCCUGCUCCGAAAACUAAGAUAUUCCGAGGCCGGGAUGUGACACUCCUCUACAGCCAGCUGCAGGUCUUCUUCUCCAGCGUGCUGUGUGCCAAGCCCAGGAGCAGCCGGAACUCCAGCAUCGGUCAGUGGGGUGGAGGGGCCAGGCAGGCAGAGGGGGAUCUCUGGGACGCCGACUGCACAAGGAGGAAGUGGCAGUCACGCCUCACUCCACCUUCCCCCGGCAGAGGCCUUCGCUGUCUGUCAGGGCUAUGACCCUCCCGAGGGCUUCAUCCCGGACCUGAGCAAACCCCUGCUGGACCAUUCUUACGAUUUCAACCAGCUGGAUGGUCCCACCCGCAUCAUUGUGCCUUUUGUGACCUGUGGGGACCUGAGCUCCUAUGAUUC